UUGUUUUAAAUUUUUCAGUUUAAUCUUUUUUUAUAAAAAAUAAUCGCAAAAAAUUCUUACGUCUGGAGCGAUAAAUCUCGCAAAUUAAGAAAAAUAGUUUUACUUUACAAAUUUUAUAAUUACAGCCAAACUCUUAAUUAAUAUUUCGUAAAUGUUUGAAAACUCUUCGGUUUUUUAUUUCAUCAUAAAAAUUUUCGAAAAUACCUUUCAUACACGGCUGUCACACGGGAUGACCUCCUAAUUUAUCAAGCUUUUUAUUAAUAUUGGCUUGCGUGAUCACCCACUAUGGAUGAUGAGUUUAUCCCUCUUAAUUACAGAUCUCGUCAAGAUUUCCUGAUCGCAAUUUAGGAAAUGAAUACCAUAAUCCUGUGUGGUCUUUGUUACCUUCAAUAAAGAAGUUACGAAAGUUGGCAUUAAAUUAGUUUGUUGGUCAAAAUGUAAUUUUUUCUCUCCCAUUUCCCUGACAGUGAUAUAGUAUAUGAUAGAUAUGCGGGGAAAAACUUACUACUAGACUAAAGUAAUUGAGAACGAAUUAAAUUUGGCCAUUGGAUCCUGGAAUGAAAGCGGGGCAGUAAAAAUUGCGGUAAAAUCAAUGAAGUAACAUCUAUUUCGAGUGAUUGUAUUACCCAACAUUCAUUCGACCGAAUAGACCCGUCAAGUACGCAUUGAAGAAAAUAUAGCAAUCGUAGCUGAGAGUGUACACGAAGACCGUGAAGAGUCACUUCAGCGCUGUUCGCAGCAACUCUGACCGACGUAGUAUAAACGACUUGGAGCAUUUUACGUCGAGAUCUUAAAUCGAAAGCGUACAAAAUACAGCUUUUGCAAGAACUGAAGCCUCUCGAACUUCUCGUUUUCGAGAAAAACGACGGUUUGAUGUGGUUUGUGGGCCGGUGGAAUCAUCGGUCCAUAUUUCUUCAAAAAUGAUACCGGUAAGAACGUAACCGUCAAUGCCACUUCCGCCACAUCGCAUCAGUCAUGGAAUUUAUUGAGAGAACACUUCGAAAAGUAAGGAACCUCGAAAUGGAUCAACCCUUUAUGACGCCUAACCGAGGUGGAGUAUGGAUGGAGUCUUUUGGCGCAAACGCAGUAGAAAAAUUCGUCCGGUCUCGGGUUGAGCUCAAUGCUAGCAAAAAUCAAAAGGAUACAAAGCAACCUUGCUUUGAGAUGUUGCUACAAGUAUGACAAACUUCUCUUACCACUUACCGUUAGACAAUUUGUGAGAUAUUUUAUAUUCAUCAAAGUUAUUACAUAUAGGAACCUAUUCUUUUUUAACUUGCUUCUCGUCAUGUAUGUACCAAAUUUCAGCAGGUUAUCUCAAUUUUUUACUCCUUAACUAUUUCGAUUUGUUUAAGUGUUGUUGAUAACCGCUAAGAUUCAAUUAUGAAAGGUUGUAUCUAUAGCAGAAAAACCAAUCAACCAAUGAAAAUGUGUUUUUUGAGUGAUAAUUGAAUACGAAUAGACAACCAUUGUACUCUCUAAAACACCUUGAUAGAAUAU